UACGUAGGUGGCAAGCGUUGUCCGGAUUUAUUGGGCGUAAAGCGCGCGCAGGCGGUCCUUUAAGUCUGAUGUGAAAUCUUGCGGCUUAACCGCAAGCGGUCAUUGGAAACUGGGGGACUUGAGAACAGAAGAGGAAAGUGGAAUUCCACGUGUAGCGGUGAAAUGCGUAGAGAUGUGGAGGAACACCAGUGGCGAAGGCGACUUUCUGGUCUGUAACUGACGCUGAGGCGCGAAAGCGUGGGGAGCAAACAGGG
rnacentral:rRNA from 1 species